CAGCAACAGCGGGAAAUUGAAAGAAGGCAGCGUAUUAUUAACUUCACAAACAGAUGACUUUUUAUCCUCACAUCAGUUUAAACUGACCAGGGGUCUGGAGACUGAGUUCUGCCUCUCAGAGGUGAAUACGAAGACUGUUAACUGCGCACGGGAAGAUUUUCAAGAAAUAACAGUGAUCAUUUACUGAGUGACAGCUUCGUUGUAUUGUCCUUUAAAUUCUGCCGCAGAAGGUAUCUCUCCUGACAUGGACCCUCUGAUUGAAGGUGUUGCACAGCGUGGCCUUCAAGGGAUUAUCCCCUGUGAGGCGGAGCUGCAGGAGCUCAUGCACCAGAUCGACAUCAUGGUGAGCCGCAAGAGGUCUGAGUGGGAGCGGCAGAGGCAGGCGCUGGAGGCCCGGCUGGAGGUGCGAGAGCAGGAGCUGCUGAGCACUCGCUACUCUUUUGACAGCAAAAACCA